rnacentral:rRNA from 1 species
AAUCCAAGAUCGUAGAAAGAAGAUCUAAGAGGGACAUAUGGAGAAUGAAGUCAGAAAUCCAUGAUAGAGUCCGACCACAACGACCGAAUUAAUUAUUCUCAUCUAGAAACUUAG